GAGGAAGGUGGGGAUGACGUCAAGUCCUCAUGGCCUUUAUGUCCAGGGCUACACACGUGCUACAAUGGCCGGUACAAACCGCUGCAAACCCGCGAGGGUGAGCCAAUCGGAGAAAGCCGGCCUCAGUUCGGAUUGCAGUCUGCAACUCGACUGCAUGAAGCUGGAAUCACUAGUAAUCGCGGAUCAGCAUGCCGCAGUGAAUACGUUCCCGGGCCUUGUACACACCGCCCGUCACAUCACGAAAGUGGGUUGUACUAGAAGCAGGUGAGCUAACCGCAAGGAAGCAGCCUUCCAAGGUGUGAUUCAUGAUUGGGGUGAAGUCGUAACAAGGUAGCCGUAA
rnacentral:rRNA from 1 species